GAACAAGAUCGGUUAGAAACGACGGUGAUGGGGCAGGAGAAAGUUAGGAGCAUGGACCGGGAAGAGCAGAGGAUACACAGGGAGAUUCAAGCGCUGGAAAAGAAAAUGGUUCUGGUUGCACCUGGUGAUGGUCUUUUGGUAUCUGGGAACGUUGUUUACCAGAGUGAUACUAGUAGCGAUAGUUUACAAGGUAGUUUGCAGAGGAUUUUUGAAGCUAUGGAGAGGUUCACUGAUGAGUGUAUGAGAGCUUAUGAUGAUCUCUUGGUGCGUGCUGAAGAAGUAACUGCUCCGAGAGAAAGUGAGGAAUGAUAAACAAAACUAGAGGAAGAUCUUUGCUUGAUCUUGCAAUGGUGGAACCAACCAGAAUCAUCUGCGUCUCAUUCUGAGCCUCAUGCAUGAAGAGCCCCACAAGUGGAUGAUGAUCUAAGAGGAGGCAUAAUCCUUGUAAAAAGACGGCCAGUUCUAUGGUUAAGAGAUACGGUUUAGUGCAAAUUGACUUUGAACCGGAUGGUUAACAUAAACCAUAUAUGAGGCAGGUAGCAUAUAUUAGUUAAGUUCUAAUAAUUUUUAUAUUCAGGCAAUGUACAUUAGGCGUUUAGGACUAAACUUUUGACGAUUCUCAGCAAUUAUUUUUGUAGAAUCCGAGGGUAGCUCAGGGAAGUCUCUCUUUCUUUUGAAGUACUAAAGAUGUGACCUUUUGGUUGCAGAAACUAGAUUACCCUAAGCAGCAUUGAGCUUCUCACUAAUCCAGGUUAUUAGUACUAGUAUUUAACAUGUGACCUUUUGUUUUGUCGCAUUAUUCUCCCUGUAUAUGUAUUUUGCUCACAUGAUAAAUUUUGUAUAAAAAAAAGAAGAAAGUUAUCAUGAAGUGGGAAAAAUGGGUGAAUGAUUUACGUUUUCUCGUUGUAAGAAAUUUUUUGUUUGAUAAUAUGCAAAUUAUGCAUGCCUGUAAAAGUUACUAGGCAUAAGAAUAAAGACAUAAUCAUUUUAUGAGAAGUUACAAACUAUUUCCAAUCAUUUACCUGACCAGCUUUAAACAUUAAUGAUUCAUGUGAGUAAACUAUACUCCCUCCGUUUCAUAAUACUUGAUCUUUUGUAAUAAUGCACAAAGAUUAAGAAAAUUACAUUUCUCUAGAAAAAUAUUUUAAAGAUAUAAUUUUAAAUUCAGUUAACCAAUUAUAAAAAAAACUGUAAAAUCUAAUUGGUUGAACAGUUUCCAAUAAAGUUAAAGUUAACCAUAAAAUCUCAAAACUUCCUUAAAAUCUCAAAACUUCAUGUAAAUUGAAACAAAACAAACCUUCUAAAACAUCAUCUAUAUUGAAACGGAGGGAGUAUAAUAAACCCACCCAAUGGUCCAUUCUUUUUUUCAGUUAGUCCCUGCGCCAAUAGUUAACGACUUUGUGUUGCUGUGCCAAACAUGAUUAGCGUGAACUUGACGUCUCGUGUGUCAAUCUAUAUGUCCUGUUUGUUUGUUGCAAAAGUAAUAAAUUGAAAAAAUUAUGUACCAUGAAGAGAAUAAGAGUGCCAUUAGUUAUUGUUGUGACCCAACCAGAACCAUGUAUUUAUUACAAAUUAGAGAUAGUGCUUGAGCAUCUAAUCAUAUAAGAAAUGCAAUUACAUAGGAGAAUCUUUGGAUAACUUCACUCUCUUCCUUUUCUACACAAAAGAGACAGCUCUUGUGUCCUCGAAAGCCUGAUUCUCUGUUUCAUUCUCCAAAGCUAAUAAUAGGAAACAAACAUUGCAAGAACUUUUCAUUGGCAUACAUCCACGUUGAGAAUAUACAAACUACUUUUCUCGCCGUUGAUCCAUUUUCUUGACCAUGAAUUUUAGUCUAGCGGUCUAUAUCAUAAAGCACUGUAUAACCAUAUCUAACUCAAAUGUGGUAAUCUGCAAUAUGCGUUUUAACUGUAAACAAAUCACAAUUUAAAUAAAAUUUUAACACUUAGCCAUAUUAGUUUAUGUGGCUUCCAAAAAUAGAUGGUAACACAUUCAGAGUGAAGAACUUUUUUUUGGUUUCAGAGUUUCAAAAGUUAACUUCUUAAAAUGUAAAUAUGUCACAGUCUGUUCAAACCCUUUAAAGAAAAUUGAUUUUCACAUUACUCUAAUUAGAAGGCACGUCAAUAAUCCAGAAAUGUCACACGGUUUCAUAGGUCAGCUACAUAAAAAAAGAAUCUUAAAUGAAAAAUGAAUAAAAAGCGAGAAAGAAAGUAGGAAUGGUUGAUGAUAAGGCACUCCAAUCACAAAACACAUUGAGCUGGCGAUAAUGAUAUUUUCCCAAAAAUCUUACAGUAUUUGGUACCACAAAGUGUUUAUCAUUAUCAAUAACAUAGGAAUCAAUUUAUAUUGUAAUAUAGUAUAGUAUAUACAGAAAAGAAGUUGACUUGUGCUGUUUUUUUUUUUUUGCCUUUUCAAUUUUCAAAUCCAUUGGUUAAACAUUUAGAAACUCAUAAAUCCUACUAAAACAUAAAGAGAUGCAUACUUCAGAGUUGACCUUAUAAAAUCUUUGUUUUAUAGACCUUAUAAAUUCUAAAAUCUUAUUUUUACCGCUGAUAUAUUAAAUUUAUAAUUAUAAAGUUUUCCCAACUUUUUAUUUUAUUUUGUAGUGGUACCAUAUUGACAAGUAGGAGACAAUGUCUCAGAAACUUACCACAGGAGUCAAAAAGACAAACUUAAAAAAAGAGAACAAUUUUUAUUUUAUUUCCAUUAAUAUCUUCUCUUCUCUCUCUCUCUCUCUAUUACAAGAAGCAAAAGAUAAACACUUUCCGACAAGCCAGAGAAAAAGAUUGGAACCUUCAUUUCAUGGGUUGUUGUCAAUCCUUGUGUCCGGAUGAACAAAACCCACUUCGGAAAGAUGGAGCUCAGCCGCCACAACCGGCUCAAACCCACCGCGGCGGCGCUACGACGGCUGCUGGACUCGAUAACGGCGGAGAUGGAGGAGUAAUCCCGUCUUUCUCAGAGUUCUCUUUGGCCGACCUAAAAGCAGCCACGAACAACUUCAGCUCAGACAACAUCGUAUCAGAAAGCGGAGAGAAAGCCCCGAAUCUUGUAUACAAAGGCAGACUUCAGAACCGUCGCUGGAUCGCCGUCAAGAAGUUUACUAAGAUGGCUUGGCCUCAUCCUAAACAAUUCGCGGUACCAAAAAGAAAGACCCUUUGUAAGGCUAACGGGCUUUGGUCUUUUUAAUUUAAUUCAAUUCGGGAAAAAAAGAAAAAUACAAAAAGUCUAGUCAAUGAGAGAAGAACAAACCAUGACGACGUGAGCAUCACACCUGAAGCCUGAAGAUCUGUUUUGGUAACAACAUCCAUUCAGUUACGUCUUUAGUUUGAACACCCAAACUAACUACACACUAGACUUUUUAAAAAGAAUAAUUUAUAUUUUUUGUCAAAAAAAAAAAGAAUAAUUUAUUUUCCCCUAAACCAUAAUAAAUAUUAAAUCUUGACUUUCCAUACACCUAAUUCAUUUAUUAGAAAAAGAAGUCGUGUACAUUCCUCGUUUAUUUUCUGACGUUACCCGUUACCAUCAUGUAAUAAUGAGUGUCCAAAUCAAAUACUGUCGUUACGUAAUUAGAGACUAAAGGUAACGGUAUUCUGGAGAAUAUAACAAAAUGGUCAAAACGGGUCAAAGUUACCAUCAAACACAAAGCCAAAGUUAGAGUAGUACUAUACUUAAAAGACCAGAACUAACCGUAUCUUUGUUUUAAGAUCCAUGUCUUGUGUCUGAACCUCUCAAAGUACUAUCCGAGAUAAGGUUUUCACUUUUUUUUUUCUUCCGGAUUUGGGUAAAUUAAUUUGGUGAGAUUAAUAGUAAUUAAUUAGAUGAUAAAGAAGAAAACACCGACUGAUCCUGUGGAGAGAAACAGACGAAAAUCUCGGUGCUGGCAAAGAUUCCUUCACAGUCCUUUUGCUGUUUGUUUUCCCUUCUUCUUCUUCUUCAUUUUUGAACUAAAUCAUUCAUUUUGAUCUCUCUUUCUCUCCUAAAUUUGAAAUAAUACUCUCUCGAGAAAACAACCACUUCACUCUUUCUUUCUAUCACUAUCAACACACACCUUCUUUGCACCUUACUCGCCUCCCCUUCUUCCUCUCACCUACCUUUCAUCUCUCUCUAUCUCUCCCUAUUAUUUUCUCAAAUCUUGUCUUUCUUUUUAAUUUAAUUUUUUGUUGGUAAAUUAACUAGUGAUGGGUUGUACAAGUUCUAAGCUGGACGAUCUUCCGGCGGUUGCUCUCUGCCGUGAACGGUGCAAUUUCCUAGAAGCGGCGAUUCAGCAACGUUACCAUUUAGCCGAAUCACACGUGGCGUACACACACUCGCUUAAAGGAAUAGGUCACUCACUCCAUCUCUUCAUCAACCACCACCACCGUUUCGUCGCUUCUCCCAGACUCAACCUUCCUCCUCAAAGAAAAGGCGACCCCGAAGAACAAGAAAACAAAGGAGUAGAAAAUUCCCCUAAGAAAGCAAAGCUACCUUCUCCUCACCAUCCGGGUUCGGGUACUGAUUCGGGUCAUCUCGAGUUCGAUUCGGACUCCGAAGACGAUGAUGAAGAAUUCCAUUUGGAUUCGGACCACCACCACCAUCUCGGAAAUUUUGAAACCGGGCCUUACAUGGGAGCACAACCGGGUUAUACCCGGUACCCGAACCCGGAAAUGAUGGGUCAUCAUCUUCCUCCUACUCCUUAUAUGCACAUGAACUACAUGAAGAACAGUUCGAUGCCUCCUUCAGUCAUCUACGAGCAAAGACCAAGUAGCCCUCAAAAAGUCUACAUAGGCGAAUCAUCAUCUUCUUCUACUUACCCUUACAAUUCCGGACCCGGACCCGGACCCGGAUACUACGGUUCUUCAACUGAUGCUCCAGCCUCUAAACCGCCUCCGCCUCCGCCUCCUCCGUCCCCGCCUAGGUCCAACGGGUGGGAUUUUUUAAACCCGUUUGAUACUUACUAUCCUUCGUAUACUCCGAGUCGAGACUCGAGGGAGCUUAGAGAGGAAGAAGGUAUACCCGAGCUGGAGGAAGACGACGAUUCACAGUACGAGGCUGUUAAGGAAGUUCACGGUGGUGAUAAUCAACCGACUCCUGCUGUUGUUUACAGGGAAGAGUCUGAUUCUCCGUCUCCGUCUCCGCGGCUGUCUGUUGAUAAAUCUGGAGCCAGCACUAGUGGUGGAGGUGCGGCUAUGUAUCAGACUAGGCCGAGCGUGUCGGUGGAGAAGAAAGGGGUUGAGUACGAAGUGCACGUUGUCGAGAAGACGGUUGUUGAAGAUGGCGGAAACGAGAGCAAUGCCACGGCGACACGUGGAGGAGGAGGAGGAGGUGGGCCACGUGCGGUGCCUGAGGUUGCUAAAGAGAUUGAGAAUCAGUUCCUGAAAGCUGCGGAGUCAGGAAGUGAGAUCGCUAAGUUACUUGAAGUUGGGAAGCGUCCUUACGGUCGGAAACAUGGUAAUAAAACUUUUCAGUUUUGUCCGAAUGAUCUUGUGAUCUUUCAAUAAUUAAGUAAAAAAUGAAACUUUUUGUUUGGACCAGCUUCUUCGCAGUUGUUGCACGGGGUUACUCCUUCUGUUGCUGAGCCGCCAACGUAUGCAGACAUUGAAGAAGAGCUUGCUUCGAGGUCAAGGAACCUUUCUUCCACAUUGCACAAACUCCAUCUCUGGGAGAAGAAGCUUUACCGAGAAGUGAAGGUAACGUUAAUCUCUUAUAACACUCCGAUGUGUUUCAGCUCCUUUGUCUGAAUAAAGCUUCUACUCUUGUCUAGGCUGAGGAAAAAUUGCGUGUAGCUCACGAGAAGAAGGUAAGGAAGCUAAAGCGUUUGGAUGAAAGAGGUGCUGAAGCUAACAAAGUGGAUACAACAAGGAAGCUAGUAAGAGACAUGAACACAAAGAUACGGAUUGCGAUUCAGGUUGUGGAUAAAAUCUCUGUGACUAUUAAUAAGAUUAGAGAUGAAGAUCUAUGGCCGCAACUCAAUGCAUUGAUCCAAGGGUAAUAAUAACCUUGCCCCUACAUGUUUUUAGAUAUUUGCGUUUGGAGAUGUUGAUUCUGUGUUUGGUUUGCUUCUCAGGCUUACAAGGAUGUGGAAAGAGAUGCUAGAGUGUCAUCAGAUUCAGUGCCAGGCUAUAAAGGAAGCUAGAGGGCUAGGGUCUAUAAGAGCUAGCAAGAAGCUAGGCGAUGAGCAUCUUGAAGCAACUAGUUUGCUUGGUCAUGAGCUUAUAAACUGGAUAUUAGGAUUCUCUAGCUGGGUUAGUGCGCAGAAAUGUUAUGUAAGGGAGUUGAAUAAAUGGCUCAUGAAGUGUCUUCUCUAUGAACCUGAGGAAACAGCCGAUGGUAUCGCUCCUUUUUCGCCUGGUCGGCUUGGUGCUCCACCGAUCUUUGUGAUCUGUAACCAAUGGUCUCAAGCUUUGGACAGGAUCUCCGAGAAGGAAGUGAUUGAGGCAAUGCGUAGCUUCACCACGAGUGUGCUUCAGCUUUGGGAACAAGAUCGGUUAGAAACGACGGUGAUGGGGCAGGAGAAAGUUAGGAGCAUGGACCGGGAAGAGCAGAGGAUACACAGGGAGAUUCAAGCGCUGGAAAAGAAAAUGGUUCUGGUUGCACCUGGUGAUGGUCUUUUGGUAUCUGGGAACGUUGUUUACCAGAGUGAUACUAGUAGCGAUAGUUUACAAGGUAGUUUGCAGAGGAUUUUUGAAGCUAUGGAGAGGUUCACUGAUGAGUGUAUGAG
rnacentral:lncRNA from 1 species